AGGAGGGUGAAGGUGUAAGUGAAUCCUGCGUCUCAAAAAUAAGUUGGGGUCAGUAUUGAGCGCUGGUGCUGUGUGAUUGUUCCUUCGCCUGUGAAUGUGUGUUUGCACUCUACGACUUUGAGCAAUACAUUUCACGAACUAGCCGAGCGUAGCUCUGCAUAUAACUGAAGACGAGUGUGAAAGCAAUGCCGAACCUGCAGGAAGUCUCUGCCUCGAUGCUCUGUGGGUCUGAGGCAUUGUAGAUGGGAAGAUUAAAGAAAAAAGCCGUGAUCGGUAUCAUGAACGAUGAGCGGAGUACAAACGCCGAGGUUCCCCUCUCUCAUCUCACCAUUCCAGAUGUCGCACUUCUGUCCCAUGUCCUUCUGCAAGGCUUCCAUCUCUGCAAGCCACCCAACCGUGAAAUUGGUACACUUCGCGUUGCUCCAUCUAUCGUGCAUGCAUCGCACGAGGUGCUGCAGGCCACUGCCGUUUCGAAAAAAAGAAAAAAGAAAAAUGCUCGUAUUUACUACACGUAUGCGAAGUUCAAAACGCGUGGAGCAGUGCACUGUUUCUGCAAUACGGGGCGAAUCCAAUAUGUUGUUCAAUGGGGUUCGUGAUAAAUUGUCUCACCUCUAUGGCACGCAGCGCUUCCGGAACGAGGUAUAUAAAUGAAGUUACAGGCACAAUGUAAAAUUAUAAAAAAGUGAAAGCAUGCCCAGGUGUAAAAAAAAUGACAGUUCAUUUACGUACACGCGUUAUUAAUCACGUUGCCAAAUAAUACGAUAAGCGCGUGCGAAAUAAAAACGGAGUGUCGGUAAUAAAAAAUGAGGUACUGAGAAUAUGGGAGGAAGUGCUUCACACGCCAAUAGAAAGCUUGCAGGGUUGAAAUUGGCGUUUGACGUUGCAUACCUGCAUGUGUUGA